rnacentral:rRNA from 1 species
UGGGGAAUAUUGCACAAUGGGCGAAAGCCUGAUGCAGCGACGCCGCGUGAGGGAUGACGGCCUUCGGGUUGUAAACCUCUUUCAGUAGGGACGAAGCGCAAGUGACGGUACCUGCAGAAGAAGCACCGGCUAACUACGUGCCAGCAGCCGCGGUAAUACGUAGGGUGCGAGCGUUGUCCGGAAUUACUGGGCGUAAAGAGCUCGUAGGCGGUUUGUCACGUCGUCUGUGAAAUCCUAGGGCUUAACCCUGGACGUGCAGGCGAUACGGGCUGACUUGAGUACUUCAGGGGAGACUGGAAUUUCUGGUGUAGCGGUGGAAUGCACAGAUAUCAGGAAGAACACCGAUGGCGAAGGCAGGUCUCUGGGUAGUAACUGACGCUGAGGAGCGAAAGCAUGGGUAGCGAACAGG